rnacentral:rRNA from 1 species
UACGUAGGGUGCAAGCGUUUGUCCGGAAUUAUUGGGCGUAAAGAGCUCGUAGGCGGCUUGUCACGUCUGCUGUGAAAUCCCGGGGCUCAACCCCGGGCGUGCAGUGGAUACGGGCUGGCUAGAGGCAGGCAGGGGAGAACGGAAUUCCCGGUGUAGCGGUGAAAUGCGCAGAUAUCGGGAGGAACACCGGUGGCGAAGGCGGUUCUCUGGGCCUGUACUGACGCUGAGGAGCGAAAGCGUGGGGAGCGAACAGG